rnacentral:rRNA from 1 species
GACGAACGCUGGCGGCGUGCCUAAUACAUGCAAGUCGAACGCUUCCUACCGGUGCUUGCACCGGGAAAGAAGAGUGGCGGACGGGUGAGUAACACGUGGGUAACCUACCUACAAGCGGGGGAUAACAUUCGGAAACGGAUGCUAAUACCGCAUAGAUCUUUUUGUCUCCCGGCAGAAAGAAGAAAGACGGUUUCGGCUGUCACUUGUAGAUGGACCCGCGGCGCAUUAGUUAGUUGGGGAGGUAAUGGCUCACCAAGACGAUGAUGCGUAGCCGACCUGAGAGGGUGAUCGGCCACACUGGGACUGAGACACGGCCCAGACUCCUGCGGGAGGCAGCAGUAGGGAAUCUUCCGCAAUGGACGAAAGUCUGACGGAGCAACGCCGCGUGAGUGAAGAAGGUUUUCGGAUCGUAAAACUCUGUUGUUAGAGAAGAACAAGGAUGAGAGUAACUGCUCGUCCCUUGACGGUAUCUAACCAGAAAGCCAUGGCUAACUACGUGCCAGCCGCCGCGGUAA